rnacentral:rRNA from 1 species
GACGAACGCUGGCGGCGUGCCUAACACAUGCAAGUCAAAGGGAAGCGACUUCGGUCGUGAGUACUUGGCGCAAGGGUGAGUAACGUAUAGGUAAUCUGCCCUUUGGACUGGGAUAACCUCGAGAAAUCGAGGACAAUACCAGAUGAUGCAGCGGGACCGCAUGGUCAUGUUGUUAAAGAUUUAUCGCCAAGGGAUGAGCCUAUAUUCCAUCAGGUAGUUGGCAGGGUAAAAGCCUACCAAGCCUACGACGGAUAGCUGGUCUGAGAGGAUGAUCAGCCACAUUGGAACUGAGACACGGUCCAGACACCUACGGGUGGCUG